ensembl:lncRNA SNHG10 small nucleolar RNA host gene 10
GCGCGCUUGUCGUGUUGGUCUCUUGGGAGGUAGCGGGGCUAGGCCGGGCGGGUAUCCGCCUCUCCCAGCUUAGAUUCAUUGAUUCCAGGUAAAUCAGAGGAACAAGCAACAUGAACAGAAAUAUGUAGAAAAAGCUAUUAUGCAGAAGCAUAAUUGUUGUUUCAGAAGUCCAGCAUCUGGUGCACUUAACAAUAGAGAAUAUAUUAAACUCUUUCCAAAAU